UACGGAGGGUGCAAGCGUUAUCCGGAUUCACUGGGCGUAAAGGGCGCGUAGGCGGCCGAUCAAGUCAGGGGCGAAAGCCUGUGGCUCAACCACAGAAUUGCCUUUGAUACUGUUCGGCUCGAGACCGGAAGAGGUAAGUGGAACUGCGAGUGUAGAGGUGAAAUUCGUAGAUAUUCGCAAGAACACCAGUGGCGAAGGCGGCUUACUGGUCCGGUUCUGACGCUGAGGCGCGAAAGCGUGGGGAGCAAACAGG
rnacentral:rRNA from 1 species